rnacentral:lncRNA from 1 species
AGAGUGGAGCAGGGCUGCGAUCGUUACUGUGGCCUGUCAGGGGUGAUGGAGCAGUGCGGGAUCCGUUGUAGGAAGUGGAGCAGGGCCGCCAAGGGGCGCAGAUCUAUUGGCUGAAGCUCGGCAGCGGUCGGAGUCCGGCCUCUGUAGGAAUCCGGGCGGAGUCUUCCCGCAAUCAAAGUUAAAGGUGAAGCCCGGCUCCCAUAGGAGUCCGGAC